rnacentral:piRNA from 1 species
UGCCCAGCAUGCUAGAUGUGGUCUGUG